GGAGCGCCCUCGCCGGGAGCGGCGGCCUCACCGGCCCCGGCCCCGGCCCCUCAGACCUCCGCAGUCCCAGGCGCCUGGCGUGCGUCCACCCAGGAGUCGCAGGGGCCGUUCUCAGUCGACCCGCGGGGAACCGGACUCCUAAAGAAAUGACAGUCCCUUGGCACUGCAUUUAAUUGGAGAGGAGCUCAGAUACGGGAGAUUAUAAUUAUGACGCCUGAAAUGUCAAGCUCUUCAAAAGUCUGCCAUUGCCCUCACUCUCACCCUGAACAGCUCUGGGAAACCAAACCAUGCAGUCCCCCAGAGCAAGCCCUGGAUCUCUCAGCCAGGCCUCACCUGGGAAAUCUGAGUGACGUUGACACGCAGGCCGCAGGAAGACUCACAGUGAACUGAGAAGCCUGUGCUGAGCUCAGAAGAGACCAAAGUCUACUUGGAGGCCCCAACACAACUAACCCUAUGCGAGGAACGUGCUGAGGGUCUCUUAGCUUCCUGCAACCAAGACCAGAUUGAAAGGACCAAACCAGGAUAAUGAGGCCAUAAACCAACCAGACUCUGGAGCCACAUUGUCUGAGCUCAAAUUCCAUCUCCAUAAUUGCCAGCUACUGGGCCUCCAUCACAUUCCUCCCUAAGACUCAGUUUUCUUGCUGGU